rnacentral:lncRNA from 1 species
AUGUCAUCUACAAAUUGUAGUCCAGUUACAAAGCAAAAAUACUCAUUUUUGAUCAGCCUUUGGAUACUCCUAUACUGGUUUCUCUGCCCCAGCUUCCCCAUUACUCUUGAAGUUGGAUGGAACUGUCUAAGGAGUCCUAGAGUCUUUCUCUGUCUUUGCCCUUUUUGGUCCUGAUGUCUGCUCCGUUAUACAAAGGGACAGCUGCAUUUGCUACACAGAAGAAAUUUUUGUUUCACUGUCCCAGGCCAGCAGCAGCCUAGAACAUGGAGAAAAAUUGGGAAUUAGAGCCCCUCCUCUGUAUCACCAAGCACUGGAGACCUCCCCAGACUCAUGUAUGUUGCUCCCAGGCCUCUCCCCACACAGGUGAGUUGCUGGGACCUACAUGAUCCCCCCAGACUGCUCCCAAGCCCGUUGUAACUGCCCUGCUCUCUCCAGAAGCAAGUUGGGCACCCCUCAACUAAUCAAAUCUCCCACCCACCAGUGACCCAGGCUAUUGUAUCUCCCCACAACACAGAUUUUCAGGAAACUCUGCCUAUAAGCAUGAUGACAAGCUACUGAUUUAAAUGUCUUAACUUCUUACAGAGAAACUCUGCAAUAGGCAUGUGGUGAACAGGAACAACAACAACAACAACAAAAGCCACACAAUCUUGGUAGUCUUAUUCAGUUUACUGUUCCUUGCAUCUCUUGAGGUCAGCCCAUAACGUAAGACCUGUAUUUUGAUCAUCUCUACUGUAUGAAUCUGCUGCCUCCCUAGCAACUGCCUCUCCUUCACUCUUUUCCAGCCUUUCUCAAGUGAAAGUUUUAACUGAUAAAUG